CCUACGGGCGGCAGCAGUGAGGAAUAUUGGUCAAUGGGCGCGAGCCUGAACCAGCCAAGUCGCGUGAGGGAGGACGGCCCUACGGGUUGUCAACCUCUUUUGCCGGGGAGCAAAGGGCGCCACGUGUGGCGUCACUGAGAGUACCCGGAGAAAAAGCAUCGGCUAACUCCGUGCCAGCAUUCGCGUUAAUACGGAGGAUGCGAGCGUUAUCCGGAUUUAUUGGGUUUAAAGGGUGCGUAGGCGGAUGGUUAAGUCAGUGGUAAAAUUGAGGGGCCAAACCCCUUCCCGCCAUUGAAACUGGAGUUCUUGAGUGGAAGAGAAGUAUGCGGAAUGCGUGGUGUAGCGGUGAAAUGCAUAGAUAGCACGCAGAACCCCGAUUGCGAAGGCAGCAUGCCGGCUUCCGACUGACGCUGAAGCACGAAAGCGUGGGGAUCGAACAGGAUUAGAUACCCUUGUAGUC
rnacentral:rRNA from 1 species